rnacentral:rRNA from 1 species
UACCGCGUGGGUGAAGAAGGCCUUCGGGUUGUAAAGCCCUUUUGUUGGGAAAGAAAAGCAGUCGGCUAAUACCCGGUUGUUCUGACGGUACCCAAAGAAUAAGCACCGGCUAACUUCGUGCCAGCAGCCGCGGUAAUACGAAGGGUGCAAGCGUUACUCGGAAUUACUGGGCGUAAAGCGUGCGUAGGUGGUUGUUUAAGUCUGUUGUGAAAGCCCUGGGCUCAACCUGGGAAUUGCAGUGGAUACUGGGCGACUAGAGUGUGGUAGAGGGUAGUGGAAUUCCCGGUGUAGCAGUGAAAUGCGUAGAGAUCGGGAGGAACAUCCAUGGCGAAGGCAGCUACCUGGACCAACACUGACACUGAGGCACGAAAGCGUGGGGAGCAAACAGGAUUAGAUACCCUGGUAGUCCACGCCCUAAACGAUGCGAACUGGAUGUUGGGUGCAAUUUGGCACGCAGUAUCGAAGCUAACGCGUUAAGUUCGCCGCCUGGGGAGUACGGUCGCAAGACUGAAACUC